GACGAACGCUGGCGGCACGCUUAACACAUGCAAGUCGAACGAGAGAAGAGAAGCUUGCUUUUCUGAUCUAGUGGCGGACGGGUGAGUAACACGUGAGCAAUCUGCCUUUCAGAGGGGGAUACCGAUUGGAAACGAUCGUUAAUACCGCAUAACAUAAUUGAACCGCAUGAUUUGAUUAUCAAAGAUUUAUCGCUGAAAGAUGAGCUCGCGUCUGAUUAGCUAGUUGGUAAGGUAACGGCUUACCAAGGCGACGACCAGUAGCCGGACUGAGAGGUUGAUCGGCCACAUUGGGACUGAGACACGGCCCAGACUCCUACGGGAGGCAGCAGUGGGGAAUAUUGCACAAUGGAGGAAACUCUGAUGCAGCGAUGCCGCGUGAGGGAAGAAGGUUUUAGGAUUGUAAACCUCUGUCUUCAGGGACGAAAAAAGACGGUACCUGAGGAGGAAGCUCCGGCUAACUACGUG
rnacentral:rRNA from 1 species